UACGGGGGGAGCAAGCGUUGUUCGGAUUUACUGGGCGUAAAGGGCGCGUAGGCGGCGUGACAAGUCACUUGUGAAAUCUCCCGGCUCAAUCGGGAGGGUGCGCCGAAAACUGGGAGGCUAGAGUGCGGGAUGGGAGAGUGGAAUUCCUGGUGUAGCGGUGAAAUGCGUAGAUAUCGAGAGGAACACCGGUGGCGAAGGCGGCGAUCUGGACGGUGACUGACGCUGAGACGCGAAAGCGUGGGGAGCAAACAGG
rnacentral:rRNA from 1 species